UACGAGGGGUGCAAGCGUUGUUCGGAAUCACUGGGCGUAAAGGGAGCGUAGGCGGAACUCCAAGUCGGUCGUACAAUGCCAGGGCCUAACCCUGGACCUGCGGUCGAUACUGGGGCUCUUGAGUUAUUUAGAGGCAGGCGGAAUUCCAGGUGUAGCGGUGGAAUGCGUAGAGAUCUGGAAGAACACCAAUGGCGAAGGCAGCCUGCUGGGAAUUAACUGACGCUGAGGCUCGAAAGUGUGGGUAGCAAACAGG
rnacentral:rRNA from 1 species